GCCGGAAUAGCUCAGUUGGGAGAGCGUUAGACUGAAGUUGUUAACGUAACAGUCAUCUAAAGGCCUACGGUUCAAUCCCGGGUUCCGGCA
rnacentral:tRNA from 1 species